rnacentral:tRNA from 2 species
CAUCAAGAAGCUAAGCUAGCAUUAACCUUUUAAGUUAAAGACUGAAGGCAUAAUACCUUCCUUGAUGA